rnacentral:rRNA from 1 species
GAUGAACGCUGGCGGCGUGCCUAAUACAUGCAAGUCGAGCGAACAGACGAGGAGCUUGCUCCUCUGACGUUAGCGGCGGACGGGUGAGUAACACGUGGAUAACCUACCUAUAAGACUGGGAUAACUUCGGGAAACCGGAGCUAAUACCGGAUAAUAUAUUGAACCGCAUGGUUCAAUAGUGAAAGACGGUUUUGCUGUCACUUAUAGAUGGAUCCGCGCCGCAUUAGCUAGUUGGUAAGGUAACGGCUUACCAAGGCAACGAUGCGUAGCCGACCUGAGAGAGUGAUCGGCCACACUAGAACUGAGACACGGUCCAGACUCCUACGGGAGGCAGCAGUAGGGAAUCUUCCGCAAUGGGCGAAAGCCUGACGGAGCAACGCCGCGUGAGUGAUGAAGGUCUUCGGAUCGUAAAACUCUGUUAUUAGGGAAGAACAAAUGUGUAAGUAACUAUGCACGUCUUGACGGUACCUAAUCAGAAAGCCACGGCUAACUACGUG